AAGUAAUUAUAAAUGAAAUAUAAUGGUUGGUUCAUUUUAGGACAACUGAACUUUAAUAAGAAAAUUGUUUUACACAUUUCAGCGUAUGAAAUCUGGUUUACUAAUAUAAACAUGUCUGGUUUAGGAUAUGUAUUACUCCUGAGUAGCUGAGACAUGAGCGUCACAUUUCUAAGUUAUCCAGUAACAAGCCUUCCCCUAACAGCUGUCAUUGACCUGGACUCAACUGGGCUAGCUAGCUAGCUAGCCAAGCAAGGAGUGGUGGUAACUUUCGGUAACUGGAUAUAUAACAUGGACAAACAUGUUUCUGGAACAAUCUGGGAGGACCCUGAACCUGUUGAGGCCACAGCUUAACACAACCUGUCGUAUCUAUCGACUUUCCUGUCUAAAAGUGCUAUUAUGGGGAGACCAAGGCACGUUUUCAAUAAAAAAUGAUUACAGCUCUCCGUAGGAUGUCGGAGUAUCAUCUGCGUUGCGUUUGGCGUGAGCAUCGGUGAGACCAGUAGGAUGUAAACAGAAGUGCCCCUGCCUGAGAUGCAGUCUGGCAGGUCCGCCCGCAGAGACAAAAGCAUCAGGCUGUGUCAUGCAAGCUGUGACCCUUGCCACUGUGUCUGGGCACACAGUGUCAGUCUGAAUCUGUCCCUGUAUCAGUUUCUGAGUCAACAUGGCUUCUGGGAUAAUAACACUAUCUCAUUAAUCACAUUGUACGCCUCCCCCCUUUGUCCGAUCAACUCUACAUCGCCUGGCUUAGGGAGUAUGUGUCUCUGGCUUGUGAAUGUAAUGCCCGGAUGACAUUUAACCUCAUUUAAGAUUUUAG